rnacentral:tRNA from 1 species
GCCUGCGUGGUGUAGUGGUAGCAUGCUCAACUCGUAACCGAGAAGUCCGUAGUUCGAUUCCCGGCGAAGGCA